UACGUAGGGGGCUAGCGUUGUCCGGAAUCAUUGGGCGUAAAGAGCGUGUAGCGGCCCGGUAAGUCCGCUGUAAAAGUCAAAGGCUCAACCUUUGAAUGUCAGUGGAUACUGCCGGGCUAGAGUCCGGAAGAGGCGAGUGGAACUCCUGGUGUAGCGGUGGAAUGCGCAGAUAUCAGGAAGAACACCAACGGCGAAGGCAGCUCGCUGGGACGGUACUGACGCUGAGACGCGAAAGCGUGGGGAGCGAACAGG
rnacentral:rRNA from 1 species